rnacentral:rRNA from 1 species
AAGGGCACCACAAGAACGCGUGGAGCAUGUGGCUUAAUUUGACUCAACGCGGGAAAUCUUACCGGGUCCGGACACACUGAGGAUUGACAGGUAUUAUUAUUUAAUAUUUUCGAAUAUUUUAUAUGUAAAUAUGCUAGUCCUUUCAUGAUUAUGUGAUAGGUGGUGCAUGGCCGUUCUUAGUUCGUGGAGUGAUCUGUCUGCUUAAUUGCGUUUCACUGAGGGCUUUUUGUUGUCUGCAUAUGGCUUUUUGACCCCCUUUCGCUACGGCGUUAGCGUGUGUGUCUCUUUGUCUUUUUGCUCAUACUUCAUAAGCUCUGAAAGCAACGAACGUGACCGCAUCCUCUUGUUGCCUCUAAUAUUCUCUGCGAAUUUUUAAUUCAAAAAGAAAAAAAGAGGCUUUAAAACUAGAGGGACCGCUGUAACUUCUUUAAACCAGAGGAAGGUUGCGGCAAUAACAGGUCUGUGAUGCCCUUAGAUGUUCCGGGCUGCACACGUGCUACAAUGAUUGUUGCAGUGAGCAUCUCAUUUAUAAACACUGCAGUGCAGUCGCGCUUUUUCAUUUGGCUUUGAACUUCGGUUUUUUGUUAUUUGUUUUAGUGUUGUUCUUGCGCGCAGUUAAGCCUGCUUCGAAAGUAAGUAGGUAAUCAAUUAGAAGUAACGAUUUCCCAGCUAGCACAAUUAUAUGCGGCAUUUAUUCCCGGGUUUAAGCUUGUCUUAAUCUUCGUGCGUUUAAAUGUAUUUUACCGCAUGUGCUUUUGUCAAUUCAAGGUGGGGACAGACCAUUGUUAAUUGUUGGUCUCGGUCUUAACUAGGAAUGCCUUGUACGGGUCUUUGGUUCAACAAACCACCCGGAAUACGUUCCUGCCCUUUGUACACACCGCCCGUCGCUCUUACCGAUGGACUUCUCUGUGAGUUUGAGGGACUGGGAACGAAAUAAUUUUUUUUUGGUUCACCUUCUAUGGAAACUUAAACGAACAGUGUGGUCUAAAGGAAAGAGAAGUCGUAACAAGGCAUCGGUAGGUGAACCUGCAGAAGGAUCA